rnacentral:rRNA from 1 species
GGAGUGAAUAAUUAAAAUAUUUUUAUAUA